rnacentral:rRNA from 1 species
CCUACGGGAGACUGCAGUGAGGAAUAUUGGUCAAUGGUCGGGAGACUGAACCAGCCAAGCCGCGUGAGGGAUGAAGGUACAGAGUAUCGUAAACCUCUUUUGUCAGGGAACAAAGGCGGGGACGCGUCCCCGGAUGAGUGUACCUGAAGAAAAAGCAUCGGCUAACUCCGUGCCAGCAGCCGCGGUAAUACGGAGGAUGCGAGCGUUAUCCGGAUUUAUGGGGUUUAAAGGGUGCGCAGGCGGUCUGUUAAGUCAGCGGUCAAAGCCCGGGGCUCAACCCCGGCCCGCCGUUGAAACUGGCAGUCUCGAGUGGGAGAGAAGUAUGCGGAAUGCGCGGUGUAGCGGUGAAAUGCAUAGAUAUCGCGCAGAACUCCGAUUGCGAAGGCAGCAUGCCGGCUCCACACUGACGCUGAGGCACGAAAGCGUGGGUAUCGAACAGGAUUAGAUACCCCUGUAGUC